UGGGGAAUAUUGCACAAUGGGCGCCAGCCUGAUGCAGCCAUGCCGCGUGUAUGAAGAAGGCCUUCGGGUUGUAAAGUACUUUCAGCGAGGAGGAAGGCGUUGUGGUUAAUAACCGCAACGAUUGACGUUACUCGCAGAAGAAGCACCGGCUAACUCCGUGCCAGCAGCCGCGGUAAUACGGAGGGUGCAAGCGUUAAUCGGAAUUACUGGGCGUAAAGCGCACGCAGGCGGUCUGUCAAGUCGGAUGUGAAAUCCCCGGGCUCAACCUGGGAACUGCAUCCGAAACUGGCAGGCUAGAGUCUUGUAGAGGGGGGUAGAAUUCCAGGUGUAGCGGUGAAAUGCGUAGAGAUCUGGAGGAAUACCGGUGGCGAAGGCGGCCCCCUGGACAAAGACUGACGCUCAGGUGCGAAAGCGUGGGGAGCAAACA
rnacentral:rRNA from 1 species